GUAGGUGAACCUGCGGAAGGAUCAUUAACACGUAUCCAACGUUAAAAACCCCGUGAACCUUUAUAUCGCCGCUCCUCAUUGCUAAGUCUCGGAAAAAGCCAAAACAGCAAUCCCUGCACUCCGUCGUAGACAACGGAAGGAGGGGGGACCUCUGACUUUGGCCGAGCUCGGUGGGUUUCAGAGCGCUUGGUAAGGUGGCUUGUUUUUCCCCAAGCAGUCAUUGAAUGACAGUGUCAUUGAUUGUCUAAGGAUUUCGCUAAGCGAUCACUAGAGGUCGAUCACCUACCGGUGGAACAAGUCACAGGGCUCCCCAACCCCACUUUCUAUUGCCGCUCCGCGCUAACACGUUCAAAAACGUACUAAACAACUGUUAUCUUGGUUCUC
rnacentral:misc_RNA from 1 species